GGGGGUAUAGCUCAGUGGUAGAGCGCGUGCUUAGCAUGCACGAGGCCCUGGGUUCAAUCCCCAGUACCUCCA
rnacentral:tRNA from 2 species